GACGAACGCUGGCGGCGUGCUUAACACAUGCAAGUCGAACGGAGUGGCGAAUGUGUGAGUAACACGUGGGUGACCUGCCCUGCACUUAGGGCUAAGCCCGGGAAACUGGGUCUAAUACCGGAUAGUGUGGGAUGGGCCCGCGGCCUAUCAGCUUGUUGGUGGGGUAAUGGCCUACCAAGGCGGCGACGGGUAGCCGGCAUGAGAGGGUGGACGGCCACAUUGUGACUGAGCCACGGCACAGACUCCUACGGGAGGCAGAAGUGGGGAAUAUUGCACAAUGGGCGGAAAAAUGAUGCAGCGACGCCGCUUGGGGGAGGACGGCCUUCGGGUUGUAAACUCCUUUCACCAUCGACGCGGUAGAUGGAGAAGAAGCACCGGCUAACUACGUGCCAGCAGCCGCGGUAAUUC
rnacentral:rRNA from 1 species